rnacentral:sRNA from 1 species
UACAUAGAUACAGUUAGCGACAUCGUAAA